UACGGAGGGAGCUAGCGUUGUUCGGAAUUAUUGGGUCGUAAAGCGCGCGUAGGCGGCUUUGCAAAGUCGAGUGUGAAAUCCCCCAGGCUUAACCUGGGAACUGCAUUCGAGACUGCAUAGCUAGAGUAUGGGAGAGGGAAGUGGAAUUUCAAGGUGUAGCGGUGAAAUGCGUAGAUAUCUUGAAGGAACAUCAGUGGCGAAAGCGACUUCCUGGACCAAUACUGACGCUCAUGUGCGAAAGCGUGGGGAGCAACAGG
rnacentral:rRNA from 1 species